CAAAGCAGUGAUGCAGAGCAAAUCCCCAAAAGCAGUCUUAGUUCGGAUUGUAGGCUGCAACUCGCCUACGUGAAGUCGGAAUUGCUAGUAAUCGCGGAUCAGCAUGCCGCGGUGAAUACGUUCCCGGGCCUUGUACACACCGCCCGUCACACCAUGGGAGUCGGUAACACCCGAAGCCUGUAGUCUAACCGCAAGGAGGACGCAGUCGAAGGUGGGAUUGAUGACUGGGGUGAAGUCGUAACAAGGUAGC
rnacentral:rRNA from 1 species